rnacentral:rRNA from 1 species
CCUACGGGAGGCUGCAGUGAGGAAUAUUGGUCAAUGGGCGCAAGCCUGAACCAGCCAAGUAGCGUGAAGGAUGAAUGCCCUACGGGUUGUAAACCUCUUUUAUACAGGAAUAAAGUGAGGCACGUGUGCCUUUUUGCAUGUACUUUAUGAAUAAGGUUCGGCUAAUUCCGUGCCAGCAGCCGCGGUAAUACGGAGGAUCCGAGCGUUAUCCGGAUUCAUUGGGUUUAAAGGGAGCGUAGGGGGGGUGUUAAGUCAGGUGUGAAAGUUGGCGGGUCAACCGGAACACUGCAGUUGAGACUGGCAGUCUUGAGUACAGUUGAGGUAGGCGGAAUUCGUGGUGUAGCGGUGAAAUGCAUAGAUAUCACGAAGAACCCCGAUUGCGAAGGCAGCUUACUAAGCUGUGACUGACAUUGAUGCUCGAAAGUGUGGGUAUCAAACAGGAUUAGAUACCCGAGUAGUC